UACGGAGGGUGCAAGCGUUAUCCGGAUUCACUGGGUUUAAAGGGUGCGUAGGUGGGUUGGUAAGUCAGUGGUGAAAUCCCCGAGCUUAACUUGGGAACUGCCAUUGAUACUAUCAAUCUUGAAUACUGUGGAGGUCAGCGGAAUAUGUCAUGUAGCGGUGAAAUGCUUAGAUAUGACAUAGAACACCAAUUGCGAGGGCAGCUGGCUACACAAAUAUUGACACUGAGGCACGAAAGCGUGGGGAUCAAACAGG
rnacentral:rRNA from 1 species